rnacentral:lncRNA from 1 species
AAGCAAACAACUCAUAGAGACGCAAACGGACCUAAAACUGGCUGCCUAAUCAGUAUAGGGGAUUGGCUCCCGUGCCUUCGGCUCCUGGUGAGAGAGCCUUCGGCUGAGUGAGUUUGGCGUUUGCUCUCUUGAGCAUUGAACGCAAAGCGAUUCUCGCAAAAACAAAGUUUUGUUUUUCCUUUGAAGUCUGAUUCGUAAGUUUAAACAUAGAGAGAGAGACACACACGAGACUACGAAACCAACUUGAAAAGAAAAAACAAAUAAAUUCUUUUUCGGCACAGCUGCCAUGUCUCCACUUAUAACUCUAUGUUUAUUCACACAGUGUAUGAUGAAUACUCUAAUGGAAAAUAGCUGCAACGCCAAGUCAAUUGCCGUUAUUCAUUAUUUGUAUAUGUACAUAUUUAGAUGAUUAUAACUGUUUAUACCUCCCGUCCUAACUGUUUUUAAGAAAUAUAUGAGCAUAGAGAGGAUACGCAAGAUCAAUUUAUUUUUAUUGGGGCAAGCUUCUUCAUAAAGUCACAAGUUUGAAGGAAGGGUAUGUGA